UCCUUCUGGAAUGCUUCUCUAUAAGGUACUUUUCCUUUGAGGGGCUGGAAAAAAAACUAGGGGACUGAAUGUACUCACUGUAGGAAAGAACUGGGAAAGGCCAAUUAACAUUCCGCUAAGAGAGAAAAUGAUUUCUCCCAUCAGCAAUAAAAACUGACAGCUCUAUCAGAAAAUGAGCCGGGGGGGAAACCUGCAGAGCCUGGCGGGGCAGGUGGGGCGGGGAGUGUGUGCCCUGCUCACUGAGGGGUAAGGAUGCUGAGUGCAGAGACGGCUGCUGGGAGUCAGGGGAGCUCAGGCGGCCAGAGGUGUCGCUGUCUGGGGAGGUGACCCACGGCUCCCAGCCUCACUAAUCUGGCCCCCAGGCAAGAAGACGAGCCCUGUUCAGGUUUUAUCCCUGGAACUCAGAGCUUCGACUCUCCCAACGGCUUCUCCCUGUACACUCGUUUCCUCUGACCUUAUCAUAAAAGGAAGCCACGUGAUGUCUAUUUAUGGCAGCAGCGUGGUCUGGGGAGAAGAGGCUCUCAGCCCUGUGAAUUCCAGGGGCUGAUGAAAUUGCUCCUCUGCUCCGGCUCUCUCCCUGCCAGGAAUGAAUAAACGGGCGCGGGGGCGGCCGGAAGAAUCAAAUGCCAGCUAUCUGACAGACAGGUGCCUUCUUGAGUGCUACGGAUACAACAAGGCAAUAAACUGAAGACCUUCCAUACCCAAGAAUUGAUCCUGGAUGAAAUCAAUAACUUCAGAUCUAUCAGUUUUUACUUCAAGCAUCUGGAGACUCCUUGAGACCCCCUGGACUGUAGCCCUCCAGGCUCCUCUGUCCGUGGAAUUCUCCAGGCAAGAAUACUGGAGUGGGUUGCCAUUUCCUUCUUCAGGGGGUCUUCCCAACCCAGAGAUUGAACCCAUGUCUCCUGAGUCUCCUGCGCUGGCAGGUGGGUUCUUUACCACUGCACCAUCCGGGAACCUUUUUUUUUGUUGUAUGGAAUGUUCCUUAUAAUGACUGUGGAAGUGGUUACACAACUCUAUACACUUGUCAAAACCCAGAGACUUAUAUAGCCAAAAGAGUGGAUUUAA